GAGUUUGAUCGUGGCUCAGAGCGAACGCUGGCGGCGUGCCUAAGCCAUGCAAGUCGAACGCGGUCCCGAAUUUGUUUCACUUCGGUGGAACUGUUCGGGAUGCGGCGUGGCGAACGGGUGAGUAACGCGUGGGUAACCUACCCUCGGGGUGGGGGAGUAACCCGGGAAACCCGGGACCGAAUCCCGCCAUAACAUCCACGUC
rnacentral:rRNA from 1 species